ensembl:vault_RNA Vault Vault RNA
GCGUUGGCUUAGCUCAGUGGUUACUUCGUAUGUGCAUUGUUGCGACAUUACUUCCCCUUCCCACGGGGGUUCGAACCCCGGGCGCUGUCCAGCGUUUUU